rnacentral:rRNA from 1 species
CCUACGGGAGACAGCAGUGAGGAAUAUUGGUCAAUGGGCGGGAGCCUGAAGCAGCCAAGUCGCGUGAGGGAAGACGGUCCUAUGGAUUGUAAACCUCUUUAGGCGGGGAGCAAUGCCGGGCACGCGUGCCCGGAGGGAGAGGACCUGUACAAUAAGCAUCGGCUAACUCCGUGCCAGCAGCCGCGGUAAUACGGAGGAUGCGAGCGUUAUCCGGAUUUAUUGGGUUUAAAGGGGGCGGAGGCGGAUUUUUAAGUCAGCGGUAAAAUGUGCGGGCUCAACCCGGGCCGGCCGUUGAAACUGGUGAUCUUGAGUGGGCGAGAAGUAUGCGGAAUGCGUGGUGUAGCGGUGAAAUGCAUAGAUAUCACGCAGAACUCCGAUUGCGAAGGCAGCAUACCGGCGCCCGACUGACGCUGAGGCACGAAAGCGUGGGGAUCGAACAGGAUUAGAUACCCCAGUAGUG